UAGCCCUGCGGAGUGCCUAGGUCCGCCGCAUCUCCUGGGUCCGUGGGGUUCGGCCGGCGGGUGGACGAUCACGGGUGGCCUCCCCGUCCGUCCACCGCCGGCCACCUC
rnacentral:sRNA from 22 species